UACAGAGGGUGCGAGCGUUAAUCGGAAUUACUGGGCGUAAAGCGUGCGUAGACGGCUAUCUAAGUCGGGUGUGAAAGCCCCGGGCUCAACCUGGGAAUUGCAUUCGAGACUGAAUAGCUAGGGUACGGUAGAGGGAAGUGGAAUUUCCGGUGUAGCGGUGAAAUGCGUAGAUAUCGGCAGGAACACCCAGGGGGAAACCAGUCGACUGGGCAUCUACUGACGCUGAGGUGCGAGAGAGUGGGGAGCGAACCGG
rnacentral:rRNA from 1 species